ACUCCUACGGGAGGCAGCAGUAGGGAAUAUUGGACAAUGGGCGCAAGCCUGAUCCAGCCAUGCCGCGUGUGUGAAGAAGGCCUUCGGGUUGUAAAGCACUUUUGUCCGGAAAGAAAAGUACUGGGUUAAUACCCUGGUGCACUGACGGUACCGGAAGAAUAAGCACCGGCUAACUUCGUGCCAGCAGCCGCGGUAAUACGAAGGGUGCAAGCGUUACUCGGAAUUACUGGGCGUAAAGCGUGCGUAGGUGGUUUGUUAAGUCUGAUGUGAAAGCCCUGGGCUCAACCUGGGAAUUGCAUUGGAUACUGGCAGGCUAGAGUGCGGUAGAGGGUAGUGGAAUUCCCGGUGUAGCAGUGAAAUGCGUAGAGAUCGGGAGGAACAUCCGUGGCGAAGGCGACUACCUGGACCAGCACUGACACUGAGGCACGAAAGCGUGGGGAGCAA
rnacentral:rRNA from 1 species